rnacentral:rRNA from 1 species
CCUACGGGGGGCAGCAGUAGGGAAUUUUCCGCAAUGGGCGAAAGCCUGACGGAGCAAUACCGCGUGAGGGAUGACGGCCUAUGGGUUGUAAACCUCUUUUUUCAGGGAGGAAUAAAUGACGUGUACCUGAAGAAUAAGCAUCGGCUAACUCCGUGCCAGCAGCCGCGGUAAGACGGAGGAUGCAAGUGUUAUCCGGAAUCACUGGGCGUAAAGCGUCUGUAGGUGGUCAAAUAAGUCAACUGUUAAAUCUUGAGGCUCAACCUCAAAACCGCAGUCGAAACUAUUAGACUAGAGUAUAGUAGGGGUAAAGGGAAUUUCCAGUGGAGCGGUGAAAUGCGUAGAUAUUGGAAGGAACACCGAUGGCGAAGGCACUUUACUGGGCUAUUACUAACACUCAGAGACGAAAGCUAGGGUAGCAAAUGGGAUUAGAUACCCGGGUAGUC